CAGCCGCCGCGGUAAUACGAAGGGGGCUAGCGUUGCUCGGAAUGACUGGGCGUAAAGGGCGCGUAGGCGGCGAUCAAAGUCAGGCGUGAAAUCCCUGGGCUCAACCUGGGAACUGCAUUUGAUACUGCCUGGCUAGAGUAUCGAAGAGGGAAGUGGAAUUCCCAGUGUAGAGGUGAAAUUCGUAGAUAUUGGGAAGAACACCGGUGGCGAAGGCGGCGACCUGGUCCUUUACUGACGCUGAGGCGCGAAAGCGUGGGGAGCAAACAGGAUUAGAUACCCCCGUAGUCCCUGUCUCUUAUAC
rnacentral:rRNA from 1 species